rnacentral:rRNA from 1 species
AACGAACGCUGGCGGCAGGCUUAACACAUGCAAGUCGAACGCAUGCCUUCGGGCAUGAGUGGCAGACGGGUGAGUAACGCGUGGGAACCUACCCCUUGGUACGGGAUAGCUCCGGGAAACUGGAGAUAAUACCGUAUGUGUCCUGAGGGACAAAGAUUCAUCGCCAAGGGAUGGGCCCGCGUCGGAUUAGCUAGUUGGUGGGGUAACGGCCUACCAAGGCGACGAUCCGUAGCUGGCCUAAGAGGAUGAUCAGCCACAUUGGGACUGAGACACGGCCCAAACUCCUACGGGAGGCAGCAGUGGGGAAUAUUGGACAAUGGGCGCAAGCAUGAACCAGCCAUGCCGCGUGAGUGAUGAAGGCCCUAGGGUUGUAAAGCUCUUUAACCGGUGACGAUAAUGACGGUAACCGGAGAAGAAGCCCCGGCUAACUUCGUG